ensembl:sense_intronic Peg13 paternally expressed 13
UGCGCACUGAGAUCCGCUGACUGCCUUGCUGCCAUGGCCGCGGUGUACCGAGUAUUUGUGUGGAUAGCCUUCCCUGCCAACUCAGUGGAGCACCCUUAGGCUGCAAGUCUCCAUCCAGUGUGGCUGCGCACCGAUACCCUAAGGGUUGCUACCUCAGUAGAACCAUUCUGAUCAACUGUGGGGCCUCAUUGUGUGGGCUGCCGGCCUCGUGGACUGGCGUUCCUACCCGGUAGAGGGCGCCGCAGAAUGUGUCUCCACCGAGCAGAUUGCCGCAUUGCCGCACCUGCGCACUGAAGUCUGAGCGGACUCGCCCAGCAGACUGCGUCACAGCUGCCUGCAUUCCAGACGUCUCUAAAGACUGCAGACUGCGGCACGGCUGGAAGCUGAGCGAACCCCUUUACUACAGCUCUGUGACCACGAACCGAAGAGGACCCGGUGGCUUGUUAGCCCAUCUUAUUGAGAUUUUAGGCCUUGUGUGAUAGCUCAUCCAAGCGCUGGUGCUAUGUAGACGAUCAUUGCCGCGGCUCUCCGGCCAGCUUCGGCUCUCCGGGAAGAUCCGCGGCCUUUACUCUGAAAAUGGUUGGAUAGAAGACCUGCGACACUGCCGCGGAGCCGGGAGUUUUUCACUUGUGGUGGUGACCGAGGAAUGGGCAAAAGGAGGCACAGAAAAAGCCCAGAUAUCUGUGUCGGUGCAGCUCGUGCGAGGAUACCUUCGAGCGUUGAGAUACCUUCGAGCACAGAACCCUGCAGCUUGCGAUGCAACGGAGAGCUUGGCCGAUCUUUUUACCCUGGAGACGCUAGCACAGAGGCUCGCCAUCACCCUGUGGAUAGGCGCAUUGUGGUUGUAGCACAAUGAUGAGCCAUGGAGGUCUCCACGCUUGGCUGGGACUUGGGCGUAUGCCGUUACCCAGCCAACGCCUGUACAGCUCUUUGUUAUCUUAAUCCUGGGGAAUUACAUAUAUUUGUGGCUGCACUUCAGUGACUGAACGGAUGUUCUUACCUUGGGGAUAGAGGCACAGUGGAGCUGCGCACGGAUACCCAACGAAGCAACCUUAGAGGGUGGAUCACUUGAAUGGUUUUGGUGGCGCACUAAGGUUCUGCAUGAUAUUUUUUUUCCCCGCGGAUGGUGGCGCAGCAGAGCUGUGCACAGAUAACCUCAGAGUGCCUCACCCUAUAUGGCUGCUGCUUGCGCACUAAGGAAUCAAAUGGAUAUCCUUAUUUUGGAUGAUGGUUUAACAGAGUCUGAACUACUUGGCGGAUGCCUGCAUUGUGGUGGCUGAGCACCAAGUGCCCGAGUGGAUUUUAACCUGAGAUGUUGGUAUAGCAGAAACCCGUAUUUGUGGAUAAGUGCAUCUUGACAGCUGCGUUUGAAAAGCCUAAGAGGAUCUUAUCCCGAGGAUGGUGUUUCUGAGCAUCCUUACCCUGAGUGUAACUACAUUGUGACUGCUGCACACUAAAAAUUUGGGCUUCUUUGAUUUAUUUAUUUAUUUAUUUAUUUUGCCCUAAGGAUAAGGGCAUUGUGAAACGUCCUUCCUUCCUUUGUGUGGUGGCUGUGUACUAAGGAUCAGAGAAGAUUUUAUUCCGGGAAUGGAGGUGGAGUAUUUAGACCCCGCAGGCCACUCUGUGGCCAUAGCUGCAUACAAAGGUUGGGUAUGGUAAGAGCGAUCAUCUUUACCAUGUGGAUAUAUACAUUGCAGCAUCUGGGCAUUAAGGAUCCAGGCUGAUGUUAUUUUGGAGCUGGUGGCACAGUGAGAAGCGUCCUUUUACUGUUCCAUUGUGUUGGCUGUAUACUAAGAAUCUAGGCAGAUACCCUUAUCUUGGGGACGAAGGCACAAUGGAGCGCCCUUGCCCAGAUGGUAGCCUCAUUGUUGUGGCUGCACAUUAAGAUCUGGAAUUGUUAAGGCUGCGCCCAUCACGGCUGCAUCUGUUUCCCCAGGAUCUGGGCGGGUCAUUUUGCUCUGUGUGUAGGCAGAGGCACAGCUGGAAGCUGGAUGGCCGACCUCAGCUUUGUGCAGCACUGUGUCACCUUGGAGCCCUGCUCACCCACUGGAUUUCUCUUAUUCUGUGAAUAGUUGCAUUCUUGGGUCCAUACUCUACAGACUAAGAACGUGGGUGGGAUUUCAAACCUGCCAACCUGUGUCACAGAUGUAUUUGUUUGUUCGGAUCAGGGCACUUUAUUCCCACAGAAUGCCUCACAGCAAGGAGAUGGGCAGAUGGCUUUGUCCUGAGGGUUGGGGGAUGACCCAGUGGAGCCUUUACUCUGUGGAUAGCCACACUGAGUGGCAUGCUAAGGACCCAGACAGGCUCUAUAGCCAUGCAGGCUUCGUCACAGCUGCAUACACACAGCCAAAGCCUGGGGUGGCAUUCUUACACCGUGGAUGGUUUUCCCGAGGAGCUCACUGCACCUACUGAGUGGCUGCAUCAGCACUGCUACCCUCAAGAUGGAGGGCAGACAUCUUUAUGCUGGGGUUUAUACAGCAGCACUGGGUUAUGAUAACUCAGAAGGGCAUCUCACCUCUCUGUGGCUGCAGGGGUGGGUGCCAUAGGCACUGAGAUGACUUCGGCAGACAUCUUUGUCUUUUGUAUGGUGGUACAGCAAAGGUGUGAACAAACCAAGCCAAAUUUCUGUCUGGAUGCUGCUACAUGUGGAGGACCCAGGAGUGCUUCCUUGCCCUCAGGAAGCCAUGUUGUGUCCCAUUCAAAAGGUAUUUGGAUUUCUGUUCUUUGUGACGACGGCACUGCUUUGAGUGAGCACCAAGGAUGCCAGUGGAGGGUUUUACCCUGUGGUCAAGGGUUGAUCAAGGACCCGGCCAGCAAUCCUUAUCUUACAAGGGAGCAGCAUGACCUGAUGUCACUGCCUUAUAGAUGGCUGUGAGGAUCACCGAUCCCCUUGGCAGAUGUCCUUGCCCCAAAGACGGUGAAAGUGCAGAGCUAUAGUGAGAUUCCACUUGGGUGCCUCAUGCUCUCAUGGCUGUGGCUGUGUGGAAGAGACCAGGCAGACGUCCUUGCCACGCUGCUGAGGCACAGUGGAGCUAUCUGCAGACAAGGCAUCCUCGUUUGGGCAGCAGUGGCUGUGCACCGAGUUCCUGGGUUGAUGUCUGCAUAGGAUGGUGACAUAGAGAACCUGCAGACUCAUUAACCAGUUGGCUUUCUUUAUGCUGUGGCUUUUAGGAUGGAUGCUUCAGCUCCAAGGAAAUGGUUGGGUAUCCUUACCCAGCGAAGAAUGCUGUACUUUGGGGUGUUUACUGAAGACCGGGCAGGUGUUUUUGUAACCCUGCCAACUGCAUAUAUUGGAUUAUGGCUGUGUGUGUGUGUAUCGGGGGGAUGCACCAAGGACCCAGGUGUUUAGCCUUCCUCUUUGGAUUGCAGCAGGACUCCCAGCGUACCCCAAGGACCACAGCAGUCUUGAUCACAUCGCUUGGGGAGGAUCUGGGAGUCGUCUUGUUGGCUUGGGUUUGCAGCGAUAGCUGCUGCUUGUGAGCAGUGAGGGACUCUCUGGGCUCCCACCCAUCGGGGCUGCCCGAUCCUCUCUGCCAGGCCACACUUGCAAGGAUCUUGUGGCACACUCAGCUUUCAGUACUGACUGGAGGAGAAGGCUUCCGCACGGCCGGAGCUCCAAGGGGGCUCAGACAGGCCUACUUUCCAGCGUGCAGAUCCUCUCCUGUACCCAGUCCCUUCAGAACUCAACCAGGUUCCACUCCAGUCUUCUCAGGAUCCGUUAAAGAAAACACCAGUCUCGGAUAUCUCCGAGUCGUGUCUAACUCUUCUCUUUCCUCUCUGUGCUUAGCACUCUAGUACCUUCUGUUCUCUCCGUGUUUUUAAUGUUCCCAGUGUUUAGCAGCCUUGGAUUUACCCCUACCCCACCCCUGUGCCUUUACCCCCCCUUCCCUCCCUUUGGCACUAUCCUUACCCCAUCUUAGCUGAACAGGGUUGUAGAGUAGAUGGGAACAUGCCCACCUUACUGUCUUUGUGAAAGCUUUUCCUUCUGAACUGCUUUUCCUUAGCUAGCUACAAGGCUGCCUCCUUGUCUCAGCCAGGUCUCUGCAGAACCAUAUAACCUUGAUAACCCAGCGGCAAGGCAUGUAUUGUAGCCACACUCUUCCCUCCCAAGACGAUUAGCUUGGGUUGCCUCCACAGCCCCCUAACUAGUUUCUAGUGUUUCCCCAAUAGUCUGUUGUUUAUAGUAAUCCCAUUCAAACCAAAGUGAGACUUCCCAGCUGUGCCUCUCUAGCUAUUUAGAAUAGACCCCACAGUCCUUACAAUGGCAGGCAAGCUGUUUAUGACCUGUCCCAAACCCUUCCCUCUGCCCCCACAUUUGUCCCGCUCCUUCCCACCCGCUGGCAUCUAGCCCUAGCUCAUCCUAGCUGAAGAGGUUGAAGGAAUAUGUGGGUACAUGCCCACCUUAUUGUCUAUAGCUAUGAGGCUGCCUCCUCCCUUCCCUCCAACAGGCUUUGCUGACCUAUAAUCCAGUCAGUGCAGCAGCAAGGCAUGCAUUGUAGGCACCCUCUCCCCUCCCACCACCCAGCCCCAGGUUCCUGAGUUUCUCACAGUAGUCAAUAUGCUUAUCGAUAGACUAUCUUUUGCUUGUGGUCCUUCCCCCUUGCUUAUAGGUAAGCUUCCUGUGGAGGGGGUCCCCAUUGGAUUCAUUGAUGUGUACUAUGUAUUUGUUAUAUUGUAUCUUCAAUAAAUAAAUGUUGCAAGUGUGCCUCCUGAA